rnacentral:rRNA from 1 species
GACAGAGGGUGCAAACGUUGUUCGGAAUUACUGGGCGUAAAGCGUGUGUAGGCGGUCUGCUAAGUCGGGUGUGAAGGCCCCGGGCUCAACCCGGGAAGUGCACUCGAAACUGGCAGGCUAGAGUACUGGAGAGGUUGGUGGAAUUCUCGGUGUAGAGGUGAAAUUCGUAGAUAUCGAGAGGAACACCGGUGGCGAAGGCGGCCAACUGGACAGAUACUGACGCUGAGACACGAAAGCGUGGGGAGCAAACAGG